rnacentral:lncRNA from 1 species
UUUUGUCUUAUUUGGCCCACGUUCUUGUCUCAUUUUGCUCGACUUUGUGUGCUUAGUUCUAUGAAUUAGGAAAAACAGUUCCUUUUCCUAAGCUUGAAGGAGAGACCCUGUGUCUGGAGGUCCUGUGUGGACUGUAAGCCUGGUGACUUCGGCUGGCUGUUUGGAGCUGCAGCUGGUGUGACUGGGGAUCUUGGGACACUCCAUGCUGGGGCUGUUCUGGUGGGAUGGUUGGAACUGUGAUGGGCAUGGACCAGGGCCUCUCUGAGGUUCUCUGUACAAAAGACACUCUGGUGGGACAGCUGAAGCUGAAGUGGUUGCACACUGGUGUGUCCCAGGAUGCUGUUCAGUGAGCACCCGGGCAAGGGGGCUGCAGCCAAGGUGGGCUAUCCUGGAGUGCUCUGUACUGGGGAUACCCUAGUAAGUUAUCUGGAGUGUGCUGGAGUACAUGGUGCCUGUGUCACCUUGGCAAGAUAGCUAGAGCUGUGGUGAGCACUGACCAGGGGCGUUCUAGUGUGCACCAUGGUGAGGUCACCUUGGUGGACUGGCUUGGGCUCGUGGGAGCUAGGGGCUUGGGACUCACCCAGGUGGCAGGCCAGCCUGGACACCCAGAGCCCACUCCCAUCCACACGGUCAAGGUGGAAGGGGGCAAGUAAACUGUGCUGCUUACUAGCUCCUCUGAUCCAUAGAGAGUUCAAACAGCUCCUCUGCCAUCUGGUAGGGUCUUAGGCCUUUAUAUUCCAGUUGCCCUUUUAAAAUGGGGUUUUGGGACACCUGGGUUGCUCAGUGGUUAGCAUCUGCCUUUGGUUCAGGUCAUGAUCCCACGACUCUGGGAUCAAGUCCCACAUCAGGCUCCCUGCGGGAAACCUGCUUCUCCCUCUGCCUAUGUCUCUGCCUCUCUGUGUCUUUCAUGAAUAAAAUCUUCUUAAAAACAAAACAAAAACCAAGGGGUAUUUUUUUGCUGUGUUCCACAGCAGCCAAACCUGCUCAGGGUUUCUCUGUACUGUUCCUCCCCACAGCAGUUGGCAGCAUCAGGGGUGAGUGUUCUCGUUACUAUGUCUCCACCUCUCUUGCUUUUCUGUGUGGUCUUUUGUUGUUUAGAAGCUAUCCAGUCAGCCUUCAGUUCUACAGGAGGAAUUUCUCUAUAAUAAAUAGAUAUACAUUCGGUGUAUUGGUGGAGAUGAGUUCAAGGUCUUCCUUUGCAUUUCUAUAAAUUUUAGAUUGUUUUUCAAUCUUAACAACAAAUAACAUGAUGUGAUUUUGAUAGGAAUUACAUUAAACCUAUAGACCAAUUUGGGGGAAUAUGACACCUUAGCAAUAUUGACUCUUCUGCCCUAUGAAUAUCAUGUUUAUUUAUUUAGGUGGUCUCAGCAGUGUUUUAGAGUUUUAUGUGUGUAGGUCUUUGACAUUUUUUGUCCCUUUUAUUACUAAGUGUUGCAUGUUUUUAUGCUUUGGGGGUUGACUGUUGGUAAUACACAGAAAUACAAUUGAUGUUUGUAUAUUUUACAUGCUGAUCCUGUUGGAUUUUUCAACCUUGUGCCCUAAUAGUAUUUUUGUAGCUUCCAUUGGAUUUUUUUUAGGUGAUCUAUUAGGGUCAUCUGUAAACAGAUACUCCAAGCUCCGUAAUUUGAAUGACUUUUUCUUCUCAGUUUGAGUUAGAACUGACAAAACUCUAUAUAAAGCAUAUAGUGCAAUGGUUUGAGAGAUACAUUGUGAUUGUCGUAAUCAAGUUACCAUGCCCAUCACCUCACAGUUACCGUGUGUGUGUUUGUAUCAUAAGAAUGCUAAAGAUCUACUAUUUGAGAGCAAAUUUCAAUAUAAAGUAUUAACUAUAGUUGCCAUGCUGUGCAUUAUAUCCUGAGAAAUUAUUCAUCUUUUAAUUAAGUUUGACCCUUUGAACACCUUUGUCCUAACCCUCUGCCCCUCCUAUCAUUCUAUUGUUUCUAUGAGUUAAGUUUUUUAUGAUUCCACAUAUAAGUGAUACCAUAAUGUUUGUACUUUUUAUGGCUGAAUAAUAUGCCAGCGUGUGUGUGUGUAUAUACACACACACAUAUAUAUCUCACUUACCUUAAUCACUCACUUGUUGACAGUCACUUAGGUUGUUUCAUGUUGGAUAUUGUGAAUAAUGUGCAGUGAACAUGAGAGUACAGAUAUCUCUAUGAGAUACUGUUUUUUUUCCUCUUUUUGAUCUACACCCAGAAGUGGGAUUGCAGGAUCACAGGGUACACCCAGAAGUGGGAUUGCAGGAUCACAGGGUAGAUUUUUUAAAUCUCUUGGAACAAUCAUAGAAUUUUUGUCCUUCAUUUGUUAAUGUGGUAUAUCAUGUUUAUUUACAUUUGUUGAACCAUCCUAGCAUCCCAGGGAUAAAUCCCACUUGAUUGUAUUGUGGUGUAUAGUCCUUUUAAUGUGGUGUUGAAAUUGGUUUGCUAGUCUUUUGUUGAUGAUUUUUGCAUGCAGGUUCAUCAGAGAUAUUGGCUUGCAAUUUUCUUUUGGUAUCUUUGUUUUUGACAUCAGGGUUCACGUUAGCCUUUUAUAAAAUAAAUUUGGAAAGUGUUUUAUUCUAUUUUUUGGAAGUUUAAUAAAGAUCGGUAUUGGGACGCCUGGGUGGCUCAGAAGUUGAGCGUGUCUGCCUUUAGCUCAGGGCGUGAUCCCGGGGUCUGGGAUCGAGUCUCACAUCGGGCUCCUUGCAGGGAGCU